rnacentral:misc_RNA from 1 species
GGGGGGUUCGUUUCCCGGCAUACGCACCA